ACGAGGAGCUCUGGUGAACAAGUGCGAGUCCUCUACAUGUGGUGCUCUGCAAGCAAGUGAAAAUAGACUAAGCUCAAAGGAAAGAAAAGGGAUCAUUGUACCACACAAUGCACAGUGUACAGAAGUCAACAUGAAAGAUACUGGAAAAAGUUACUUGUAUUUCUGUCAAGCAAGCAAUUGAAAGCAGUAUUGAUUCUGAAUCUGACAUUAUUGUGGCCAGAAAAAAAAGUUCCUUAUUGUCAAUGAUAUUCAUGCCUGAAGCAUAUGAGAAUAUUUCACACAGCUCUCUCAGAACAACAAGGCAAACAACAUUGGGUGGAAAAGGGUCUUGGAUCAAUCCCAUAUGGACUAAUGGUAUAUGAAAAAAAUGUGACUUCAAAGGUGAUUUGAGGCAUUGAACUUGGAAGAAGGAAAACUCUGUAGGGCAAGGGAAGGGAAGGGUUCUCUAUUGGAGGCCCUCAAUGAUCAACUGUCCUGCUGGCAACAGCGAUGAAGAAAGAGGACGUGAACCAAGGAAUGAAGUAGCAUCUGCCAGCUGGAAAUGGCAAAGAAAUAGAUUUUCCCCUAGCACCUCUAGAAGGAAUACAACUCUGUGAUCCAUUUUGGACUUCUGACCUCCAAAAUGCCAAAUAAUACAUUUGUGUUGUUUUAAGCCACUAAUGAUGGCAAUUUGUUAGAGCAGCAAUAGGAAACUAAUACACAGAGCCACAGGUCUGAUAAGUACUGAAGCAGUGACUUUAGCUCUUUGUUUUAUUUCCAAUUUUCUGAUUUUCCUUCUUUAUAUUGCCAGCCUAUCUUUACAACUACAAGUGAAUCAAUGACAUGAAAGUUAUACUUUCAGUAUUUUAAAUUAUCUUCUUCUAAAAAUAUGCAGCUUAGAAUCCUACUAAAAUGUUGCUCCCUGAAAUGCUAACUUCAGUUUUUUAAAUAUAUUCUGAAUUUACUAAUUUUUUGAGCUGGAAUCCUCUACCCCUCCCCUAGCUUUACACAUACACUGGUCAUGCAUAAUUUCAUCAGCACCCAGCUCAAAAUGCUACUUUCCCCAUAAAUGUAGUCCUGAUUGUUUCAGUAUCUGUAACUCCCAGUUGCAUUGUAUACCAGUUUUACAAUCUUUUAUCAUAUAAUGCCAUGGGCUACAGUUAUUUAUAUCUGCCUUCUUUCUCUACUAGAUUGAGAGUUGCCUGAGUCUAUAAAUGAUAUUUGUCCCUUUUUUAUAAUUAUGAGUUCCUAGCCUAGGAUAUGGCUCCAGGUAGGUGAUCAGUAAAACUAAGUCUAACUAUGACUUCUUAGAACUGUGUCUUUAUAAAGCCAGCUCUCACCCAUUUAAUAACCUCUAGGUCCGCCACAAGGCUUUAAUAAAUAUGGUGCAAGCCCCAAAAAUGCACUUUUGGGUCAAAUAUAUUGAGUUCAAUCCUCUUCUCCACAAAUAUUGCUGAAAUGAGCCUGGAUUCCAUCCCAGUUGCUGUCAAAGAGAACUUUAUAGGCAACUCCUGGCUUUGGCUGAAGCCUUUAUCCCAGGGACUCAAAGGCCAUUACAGCUGCAAAUGCUUCAAAUCAUAACAGAAAAGGAGGUUGUAUUACUAAAUUAUGUGAACUUUUUUCAAAUUCAACACAUCAAUCAUUCUCCUUAAAACUGUAAAAUCUCUGUACAGUACAACACAUUUCUGAAGUAAAGAAAAAUUAUUUUGUAUUUUGCUGGUUAACAUUGGAAAACCUAUAACUAUUUUUAAAAUUUCCUAUCUAGUAUCCUUACAUUAUUAGGUUUUGAUUGGAAAUGGCUUGUUAGCAGAUAACUUUAUUCUUAGUUGUUAUAGGUGCUCCUUUGCCUCUUCUCAAAGUAGACAUCUACAUUCAGCUAUUUUGGAAUUUUAUUUGAAUUCUUCUAAAAGUGAAUAUAUGAAACUCUGGAUCAAAUCCUAAUAGGUGUUUUAUUUGUCUUAUACUUUAACAUAUAGUUUCCUUAUACUACGUUAGUGCUUGUUGAAAAAACUUAAACAUGUAUGAUCCUUAUGAGAUGUCUGAAAGUCUGCAUCUAGAUACAGUAGAUAAAAUUUUCUAUAUGGAGUUAUCUUGAUUAAUGUAUAUGUCAACUGAAGAAUUCCAAAAAUAUAGCUAGACCAGUAUAGACACUUUAUAAUUGUGAAAGGGUUCUGUCAUGUUGCAAUUUUAUAUUUCAGUGACUCGGGUAAUUUUUAAAAUACUUGAUAUUAGUCAUUUCUUUUUAUACUUCAAGCAUCCUAUUCAAUUUGCCGUCCUAGGCCACUGAUGGACUCAUCUCUAAAAUCUUCUGAUUUGAAGAGUUUCCACUGUGGCUCAGCGGAAAUGAAUCUGACUAGUAUCCAUGAGGAUGCGGGUUCCAUCCCUAUCUUUGCUUAGUUAGCUAAGGAUCUCCUGUUGCUGUGAGCUGUGCUGUAGGUCACAGACAUGGCUCAAAUCCGACAAUGCGGUGUAGAGUGGCAGCUGCAGAUCUGAUUUGACCCCUAGCCUGGAAACUUCCAUAUGCUGCAGGUGCAGCCCUUAACAAAACAAAACAAAACAAAACCAACUUCUGAUUUGAGUGUUUGUGAUGGAGUGUUUAUGUAAUGGCAUGUUAAGAAAUCAUAUCUUCAAAGCUCAUUUUUCCCUAAAUGGUAACUAAAGGUUGCUGGUCCUUCACAAGCACAAGAUUUCCAGGUGAAAGCAAUGGAUGCUGUCUUGGACAUUUUGGCAUUCAGCAAUUGGGGAUUAUUCCUAAAUUGACUAUUUUUAGGAUAUAAAGGCACCAUUUUUUGUGGGGCGGGAAGAGAAAAAUAGUCAAACAUAUUUUGUGGCCUUGGAACUUUGUUGUUAGUAUUGUUGUUGGCCAACUUAUUUUCAAGUGCCUGUGCUCACAUAUUCAAAAUAUGCUGUUGUUACUGCUUUAUGUAAAAUCAUUAUAAUGUAGUGAAAAAAGCUAGAGUCAGACAAACUUGGUUUAAAUUCUCAUCUCUAUUCUUAAUGAAGUAUGUCAACUUCUUUGUUUGUUAAAAUAAAGAAAAGUUUAAAGUU
rnacentral:lncRNA from 1 species